UACAGAGGGUGCUAGCGUUGUUCGGAAUCAUUGGGCGUAAAGGGCGUGUAGGCGGGCUGCCAAGUCUGGGGUGAAAUCCCACGGCUCAACCGUGGAACGGCCUCAGAUACUGGCGGCCUCGAGGGAGGUAGGGGCGUGCGGAACUGUGCGUGGAGCGGUGAAAUGCGUUGAUAUGCACAGGAACUCCGGUGGCGAAGGCGGCGCGCUGGACCUCUUCUGACGCUGAGGCGCGAAAGCUAGGGGAGCAAACAGG
rnacentral:rRNA from 1 species